rnacentral:rRNA from 1 species
CUUGGUCAUUUAGAGGAAGUAAAAGUCGUAACAAGGUCUCCGUAGGUGAACCUGCGGAGGGAUCAUUACAAGUUGACCCCGGCCCUCGGGCCGGGAUGUUCACAACCCUUUGUUGUCCGACUCUGUUGCCUCCGGGGCGACCCUGCCUCCGGGCGGGGGCCCCGGGUGGACAUUUCAAACUCUUGCGUAACUUUGCAGUCUGAGUAAAUUUAAUUAAUAAAUUAAAACUUUCAACAACGGAUCUCUUGGUUCUGGCAUCGAUGAAGAACGCAGCGAAAUGCGAUAAGUAAUGUGAAUUGCAGAAUUCAGUGAAUCAUCGAAUCUUUGAACGCACAUUGCGCCCCCUGGUAUUCCGGGGGGCAUGCCUGUUCGUGCGUCAUUUCACCACUCAAGCCUCGCUUGGUAUUGGGCGACGCGGUCCGCCGCGCGCCUCAAAUCGACCGGCUGGGUCUUUCGUCCCCUCAGCGUUGUGGAAACUAUUCGCUAAAGGGUGCCGCGGGAGGCCACGCCGUAAAACAACCCCAUUUCUAAGGUUGACCUCGGAUCAGGUAGGGAUACCCGCUGAACUUAAGCAUAUCAAUAAGCGGAGGA